AUGACCAAGACAAGAACUUCAAGGUCAGAGUCAUUUUUGUGUUUCAAACGUAGCUAAAAAGCAUGGAGCUGUGAACAGCUAAUAUUACAUUGACGAUUACGAAAUCGGAGCGAUCCUCCAAUAUUUACAAAAUGGGUUUCAAGUUAACUCACAAUCGAAAAAUCAUCGUAGCAUGGGUUACAAUGUUUAUUGUUGGACCAAUAGGAUUUCUUGGUGUUGUGCAGAACGUUAAUGGUCAACGACGAGAAAGAAUGUACUAUAAAAGAGUCUUACAACAAGAAGAAAGACAAAAAGAACUGGAAGAACAGAGAUGAAAAGAUGUUUGCUGACAAUAUAUUAUUUGUAUAUAUGGACUGGAAGGAUGUAUGAAUGGAAAUGAUUUAUUGUGAAAAUAUCAUGAAAAAUUUAAACUUGAAUAACUUUAUAGUUUAUAUGUUAUUUUAUGUCUUUUGUAGUAUGAAUAUUGAUAAAAGAAGUUUUACAUUUAGA